ensembl:processed_transcript uncharacterized LOC110284069
CCGCCCACACGGCUUGCGGACCUUUUUCCCUUCGCUGCUUUCCACCGGUCUCGGCAGGGUCUGAGGACUCCGGAGAGCAAGGCAUGAGUCCGCCUCGUGCCGCAGGUAUCCUGGGGUCCUGUGGGGAGGGCUCUGCGGUGCGGGGCCGGGUAUGAUGACCCACAUUUACAGACUAGAGUUUCUGAUGUCCACGUGACGCCACCCCUUGUAACUGACCCAGCCCGGGGUGCGGGCUGCAGGCCGGGGUCUCUCGCACCUGUGCUCACAAAAUGAUCUCUUCCAGGUUCCUGGCCCACGCCAGCUGGACCCAGUAGCACCAUGGGAUUUGAGGACACACGCCGGCUGCCUACCCUUGAAGAAAGGGUGAGCUCUGAGGACUUCACGGGGGCCCCAUCUCCUUACCUAGAUGAGGGCUAACCUUGGAAUCCAGACAAAGGUGGAAGUGACCUAGAUGUGACCUGGAUGACCUGAUCAUCUAAGGAGAGCCUGCCCUUUGUCCUGCCCUUGUGAAGGGCUUUGCUGCUGUGCACUGACAAGUUGGGACGGCUUUUUAUUGCUUUGUUGCCAGUUAUCUGAACAUGAGAGGCUAUAAGGUGUAAUCUAUGCGAGCUGACUGCCCUACGCCCAGACUGAACCAGGGCCUCACUUGACUGAGUAUUAGACAAUGUAAUAAAAACUUACCUUGCCCAGACUAUAUAAUGGCUUGGAAAUGCACAGUUUCCCGAAAGAUCUCAAUAAAAUACUUUUAAAAGGA